GUGGGCUUUGCAAGCCAUCCAGUGAAGGAAGCGCUCAAACAGGCUCAGCUGCAGAAAGGGAGCAAUACAGGCUGAUGUAGUCAGAGAGAAAAGACUACAGGAAAAAAAGUGAGAGUUAAUCAGAAACCCUGAGGGUUUGGGAGGAAAAGAGCUUAUGAGUGAGAGGAAGACAUAUUCUGAUGGAGCACAGCCAAGCACAGUGCCCGUGGGCAAUGGUGAUCCCAAUGAAGUGGUGAGCAUGCUCUCAGUGUCCUAGCAGACAGAUUUGUGAGCACUUCUAGAGAAGAGUUUAUUUACUCAGGGCAGCCCUUUCAGAAGAGAGACCUGAGUGCAGCUGCCUAAGUCCCAGUCUGUCACCCCAGCAGCUCAACUGCAGAAACCACAUUUCCAGAAGUUCUGUAAACAUUUGAGAAGCUGACCUCGCUCCAAUAAACUUCUGCUGACUUCAGUGUAUCACUUUGUACCAAGAUACAGCUCAUACUUAAAUACAUUUUCUUUGAAGAGUACAUCUGUCAUUGAAAGUCAAUGGAAAGUCAUUGAAGUGGCACCUAAUGGGUGACACGGUCCAAAUUAACACACGUUGGUGUCUUAAUACCUAGCCUUGUUCUAUUUUUUCCUUGGGAGGAACCACACUUUCUCUAUUUAGUUAUUCAUUCAUUUCAGUGGGACCUCUAGUAAUAAAAUCAGCCAUGCAUGUUUCAUGGUUCUGUAAUCAGAGUUUUCUGUUCUGGCUUUAGAAACUGAAUUUGUGAAGUAGUAGCAUAGAGAAGUGACAGUGGAAGAAUACGGGGAACAACAGAAAGGAGGAAUUAAUGUAUUUUUACCUUGAAUCAAGUCCAUCCUGUAAUAAGGGUCCCAAAGCCCAAUUUUUCUUGGUUCUGACCGCUCACAGCAUUUCUCAGCACGACAAACAGAGGCACACUCGAGCUUCUGAUGAUGUGCGCAUUAAACUUCAGGAGACCUACUUGGCCUCUUCUUUGGGAAACGUCUCAAACAGCAGAUGCUGGGCUAGAGUGGGACAAGCUUUGAUUAGAAGAAAGACUCUUUGGAACAUGUAAUAGUGGCAUAAUGAUAUACAAACAGUAGCCACUGUGUUUAUGCCGGUGGAUGGCAGGUGAGUACAGCUCCCAUAGCCUCCAUCUAUCGCAGUGUCACUGCAGCAGGCUCACAUUGGUUUUUCGCUGCAGUUAGCAGCACUGAUGCUGUUGGUUAGCUGGAGAGGCAGCUCAGCAUGCAGAAGCACACACAGCUUGAAGAGGAGCUCUGGAGGUCGUUGGCUCACAUUUCAGGCUCCCUGGCAGGCUGCCUGACAGCAGACUUUUGAUUUCUUUGUGCAGGAAAGCACAGCAGCUUGGCUUUGCAACCUUGGGUUAAGACAAACAUGGCCUGGUGCAGGCAGUGCUCUGCUAACAUGCCAGACACCUCCAGUGCGCUGCGGAGAGGUUUCU
ensembl:lncRNA